CUAUCUAAUAAUCUUUGCUCAGAGCAACCCCAGUGCUCUCUCAUUUUAGACUCUCAAACUCAAAUUAUCAGAGGUGGUGAAAAAAAAACUCUCUAAUGGACUCUCUUUUGGACUCUCAAAUUUUGACAUUUUCAAAUUUCCUCUCGAAUGUAACAGCUGUCAAAUUUUUUUUUUUUUUUUUUUGGCAACUCUCUCAUUUCUCUGUACAACGCAGUUUCAUCUCUCUCCCUCAAUCCUAUCCGCCUCUCCUCUACCCUUCGUUGCAUUCAAUCUGUCCCUUUAGUUGCCCUGUCCUCUUUCUCUCCCUCUCAUCUGCAACGAACCAACAAUUAUCGACGACGACCGGCACUUAAAGGUGACGAACACCGACCGGAUCGGUAAUUUUGUUGCCAAUUUUUUCUCUGCAAUUAAAUGGAGGAAUUGGGUCUGUAAUGAAGAUUUUUGAUUCAUUUUGUUGACAAUUUUGUGAAGCUAAAGUUGGAUAUGGUGAUUCUGAGUGUGGAGUUCCGUUAUCUCCUUCGAAGAUCUUGAUAAGGGGAGGAACUGUUGUGAAUGCUCAUCAUCAAGAGUUGUUAGGACAGUUUGGAAGAUGGUUGGUCUCCGGUCUCCAACUACUGAUGGUUGGUCUCCGAUCUCCAGUUGCUGAUGGUUGGUUUAAAUUGAAUAUUGAUGUUGUUCUUCUCACCGGUGUUAGAAGUGUCUCUGCUUUGUCUACAACACGGUGUAAACUUCCAAUUUAAAUGGACUUCUAAAGCUCACACAAUACAGUGGAACAUAAGUUAAGUCAAUGGGCUCCUGUGAUUCUGAUAUUGAUGAAUGGCCUUCAUGGCUUGUAAAUUUGUAAUUGCAAUUAACUCUGAUUGUAUGGCUUCUGUUUUUGAAUAAUAAUUUUAUUAGUAUUGA